CCAUAGCAGGUGUUUCCUGGGUGGACAGACUUGUUUCCUCACAGUAGAGAGAUCUUGGAGGGUGAGCACCAGAAGAGGGCACUGUGGGGUGUGACCCAGGCCUGGAGGGUGACGGACACAGUGAGAACUCAGCAGAGACACUGAAGAGCUAGGUGCUCACAGAGAUGAUGGACUUCAGCAGAUCUUUCUUUCCUGUUCAAGCAAGAAUAGACAAUGUAUGUUUCUGAUUCUCAGGAAAUCUAAAGACAGGGAGAUUAUAUCUGCUCAUCUGAACUCUUCAGGAUAGAGAUGUAAAAGUGUAGAGUUCAGGACAGGCCAGAGUGGGCUGAGGAGAGGCAGAUGCAGGAAGCAGAUUUGCAUUGAGGACCUCCUUCAUUUCUCUGAGGCAAUGAAGCAGAUAAAUAAGUCUGGAGGUGCCAGGUCCGGUGCUGGAGUCUCAGGAGGGAGUGCUCUGGGGCAUCGCCACCAUGACCUGGACUCUGCUUGUCCUCACACUCCUCAAUCAGGGUUUCUGGGCCCAGUCUGCUCUGACUCAGCCUCCCUCAGUCUCUGGAACUCCUGGACAGGCAGUCACCAUCUCCUGUGCUGGGACCAGCAGUGAUAUUGGGCAAUAUAAUUAUGUCUCCUGGUACCAACAUCGUCCAGGAACAACCCAUAAACUCAUGAUUUAUGAUGUUAGUAGUCGGCCCUCAGGGAUCCCUGCUCGCUUCUCUGGCUCCAAGUCUGGCACCACAGCAUCUCUGACCAUCUCUGGGCUGCAGCUGGAGGAUGAGGCUGAUUACUACUGCUGUUCAUAUGCAGGCAAUAACAAUUACCACAGUGGGCCAAGUUGA